AUUGAACGCUGGCGGCAGGCCUAACACAUGCAAGUCGAACGGCAGCAGAGUACUUGCUUGUGCUUUCGGCUGCCGAGGGGUGGAUGGUGCCGGAAAAUAUGGCAGUUUAUGUGGUCUAGGGUGCUAACGCGGGGACACUUACGCUAAUACCGCAUACGACCUACGUGGGAGAGCUUGGGACCUCACGCUCUCAGAUGAUCGUAUGACCCGAUGGCGGAUUAGCUAGUUAGCGGGGUAAAGGCCCACCAAGGCGACGAUCCGUAACUGGUCUGAGAGGAUGAUCAGCCACACUGGAACUGAGACACGGUCCAGACUCCUACGGGAGGCAGCAGUGGGGAAUAUUGGACAAUGGGCGAAAGCCUGAUCCAGCCAUACCGCGUGGGUGAAGAAGGUCUUCGGAUUGUAAAGCACUUUUGGUGGGGAGGAAGAGCAGCAAGUUAAUACCCUGCUGUUCUGACGGUACCAAAAGAAUAAGCACCGGCUAACUUCGUG
rnacentral:rRNA from 1 species